rnacentral:tRNA from 1 species
GGAUAUAGCUCAGUGGUAGAGCGCAUGUUUAGCAUACAUGAGGUCCUGCGUUUGAUCCUCAGUACCUCCG